rnacentral:rRNA from 1 species
CAGCCGCCGCGGUAAUACCGGCGGCCCGAGUGGCGGUCACUAUUAUUGGGCUUAAAACGUCCGUAGCCGGGUUGGGAAGUCCUCCGGGAAAUCUGGCCGCUUAACGGUCAGAAUGCCGGAGGAUACUCCCAGCCUAGGGAGCGGGGGAGGCCGAGGGUAUUCCCGGAGUAGGGGGGAAAUCCUAUAAUCCCGGGAGGACCACCUGUGGCGAAGGCGCUCGGCUGGAACGCGUCCGACGGUGAGGGACGAAGGCCAGGGGAGCAAACCGGAUUAGAUACCCGGGUAGUCCUGGCUGUAAACGAUGCGGACUUUGUGUCGGACAAGCUAUGAGCUUGUCCGGUGCCGGAGGGAAACCGUUAAGUCCGCCGCCUGGGGAGUACGGCCGCAAGGCUGAAACUUAAAGGAAUUGGCGGG